rnacentral:lncRNA from 1 species
GUCUUUUUCUACAAUUUUCCCCUAUAUAAUCUAUAUAGUGUUUGCCAUAUUGUCUAUUCUUUAUGUUUUGGGACUAUGUUACUAUGUUCUUAAGUUUCUGUAUUCCUUAUUUUUUUUGUCCAUUUUUCUGUUUAUUAUUCACUAUUCUGUCAACCCCAUCCCGACCCUUAUGAAUACAUGUAUGAUUGGUACACUGUGAUACAUUGUUAGAUACUGUUUGUUGUUGGUUUUUAUGGAAACGUCUUAAUCAAUCUUAUUACAGAUUGUCUUAUGUCUUUAACAUAUAUAUAUUAAAAUCCUCUAAAAUGUGAAAAAUAACACCUUAUUGUUUUAGUUUACAGAAGGGGGUAUGGUAUGCACAAGUAAAACUGGUUAAAGCCAACCACAACUUAUCACAAAAAAUAGCCUAAAACUGUCAAUGUUAUGACUGGAAAAUACCUCAUGACUAUCUGGCGGUAUGGUUCAUGGUAAGAAGUCAUGAGGACAUGAUCAUGGAUUAGAAUUCGCAAAAUCGACCGACUACAGGCUAAAACAAUGCAUCUGGUGUACUAACAUGACUACUAUUCCUGUAAUGCGCUCAUCCACUAAUUCCGAGAUAGCCGAAGAUGUAUAUAAAAAGAAGAUGUGGUAUAAUUGCCAAUGAU